UCCGAAUUGGUGUAGUGGCUAACAUUUGACGCUCUCAUGUUUAAAAACAUCCGAACCGUCAAGCCCGGGGUUCGAUUCCCCGAUUCGGAG